rnacentral:rRNA from 1 species
AUUGAACGCUGGCGGCAGGCUUAACACAUGCAAGUCGAGCGGAGACUUCGGUCUUAGCGGCGAACGGGUGAGUAAUACCUAGGAAUCUGCCUAUUAGUGGGGGAUAACGAAUCGAAAGGUUCGCUAAUACCGCAUACGUCCUACGGGAGGAAAGGGGGGAUCUUCGGACCUCUCGCUAAUAGAUGAGCCUAGGCCGGAUUAGCUAGUUGGUAGGGUAAGCCUACCAAGGCGACGAUCUGUAGCUGGUCUGAGAGGAUGGCCAGCCACACUGGAACUGAGACACGGUCCAGACUCCUACGGGAGGCAGCAGUGGGGAAUAUUGGACAAUGGGGGCAACCCUGAUCCAGCCAUGCCGCGUGUGUGAAGAAGGCC